GACGAACGCUGGCGGCGCGCUUAAUACAUGCAAGUCGAGCGAGAACCAGAGUUUCGGCUCUGGGGACAGCGGCGAACGGGUGAGUAACACGUGAGUAAUCUGCCCUCGGCACCGGGAUAGCCCGGGGAAACCCGGAUUAAUACCGGAUGGCCUCUCGAGCUUUCGGGCUCGUGAGAAAAGGUAGCUUCGGCCUCCGGCCGAGGAGGAGCUCGCGGCGGAUUAGCUUGUUGGUGGGGUAACGGCUCACCAAGGCAACGAUCCGUAGCUGGUCUGAGAGGACGAUCAGCCACACUGGGACGGAGACACGGCCCAGACUCCUACGGGAGGCAGCAGUAGGGAAUCUUGCGCAAUGGGCGAAAGCCUGGCGCAGCGACGCCGCGUGCGGGAAGAAGGCCUUCGGGUUGUAAACCGCUUUCAGGAGGGACGAAGCCACUCGGGUUAAUAGCCCAGAGGGUGACGGUACCUCCAGAAGAAGCCCCGGCUAACUACGUGCCAGCAGCCGCAGUAACAC
rnacentral:rRNA from 1 species